GACGGAGGAUGCAAGUGUUAUCCGGAAUCACUGGGCGUAAAGCGUCUGUAGGUGGUCAAAUAAGUCAACUGUUAAAUCUUGAGGCUCAACCUCAAAAUCGCAGUCGAAACUAUUCGACUAGAGUAUAGUAGGGGUAAAGGGAAUUUCCAGUGGAGCGGUGAAAUGCGUAGAGAUUGGAAAGAACACCGAUGGCGAAGGCACUUUACUGGGCUAUUACUAACACUGCGAGACGAAAGCUAGGGUAGCAAAUGGG
rnacentral:rRNA from 1 species